AGGACGAACGCUGGCGGCGUGCUUAACACAUGCAAGUCGAGCGGAAAGGCCCUUCGGGGUACUCGAGCGGCGAACGGGUGAGUAACACGUGAGUAAUCUGCCCCUAGCUCUGGGAUAGCUCCGGGAAACCGGGAUUAAUACUGGAUACGACCACCUUAGACAUCUUUUGUGGUGGAAAGAAUUUCGGCUAGGGAUGAGCUCGCGGCCUAUCAGCUUGUUGGUGGGGUAACGCCUACCAAGGCGACGACGGGUAGCCGGCCUGAGAGGGCGACCGGCCACACUGGGACUGAGACACGGCCCAGACUCCUACGGGAGGCAGCAGUGGGAAUAUUGCGCAAUGGGCGAAAGCCUGACGCAGCGACGCCGCGUGGGGAUGAAGGCCUUCGGGUUGUAAACCCUUUCAGCAGGACGAAGCGAAAGUGACGGUACCUGCAGAAGAAGCGCCGGCUAACGUACGCGCCAGCAGCCGC
rnacentral:rRNA from 1 species